rnacentral:rRNA from 1 species
GAUGAACGCUGGCGGCGUGCUUAACACAUGCAAGUCGAACGGAAAGGCCCUGCUUUUGCUGGUUGCUCGAGUGGCGAACGGGUGAGUAACACGUGAGUAACCUGUCCUUGACUUUGGGAUAUCUUCAGGAAACUGGGGCUAAUACCGGAUAGGAGCUCUUGCUGCAUGGUGGGGGUUGGAAAGUUUCGGCGGUUGGGGAUGGACUCGCGGCUUAUCAGCUUGUUGGUGGGGUAGUGGCUUACCAAGGCUUUGACGGGUAGCCGGCCUGAGAGGGUGACCGGCCACAAGGGGACUAAGAUACGCCCCAGACGCCUACGGGAGGCAGCAGUGGGGAAUAUGGCACAAUAGGCGGGAGCCUGAUGCAACGGCGCCGCGUGCGGAAUGACGGCCUUCGAGUUGUAAACCGCUUUCGCCUGUGACGAAGCGUGAGUGACGGUAAUGAGUAAAGAAGCACCGGCUAACUACGUG